rnacentral:rRNA from 1 species
UACGUAGGGUGCGAGCGUUAAUCGGAAUUACUGGGCGUAAAGCGUGCGCAGGUGGUUACGCAAGCCUGAUGUGAAAUCCCCGGGCUCAACCUGGGAACUGCAUUGGAGACUGCGUGGCUAGAGUGUGGCAGAGGGGGGUGGAAUUCCGCGUGUAGCAGUGAAAUGCGUAGAGAUGCGGAGGAACACCAAUGGCGAAGGCAGCCCCCUGGGUUAACACUGACACUCAUGCACGAAAGCGUGGGGAGCAAACAGG